ensembl:lncRNA
AUGUUGCCCAGGCUGGUCUGGAACUCCUGAGCUCAAGCAGUCUGCCCACCUCAGCCUUCCAAAAUGCCAGGACUACAGGCGUGAGCCACCAUGCCCAGCCCAUCUUUUACUCCUUUCGAAAUCCAUUCAUUGUUUAAAGACUUUUGUCUUAUUCUGUUUAUGAUGCUAUAACAAAAUACCACACAGACUGGGUAAUGUGUAAAGAACAGAAAUUUCUUUUCUCACAGGUCUGGAGAGUGGGUCGCCCAGGUGCCAGCCGGUUUAAUGUCUGAUGGAGAGGCCCAGUCUCUGCUUCCGAGAUGGUGUCCUGUCCCAAGAUCCUGUCCUGUUGUCCUGAUAUGAUGGUGUCCUCACAUGAUGCAAGAAGGAAGGGCAAACAUGCCUAAUUUCCUCCAGUCCUUUUAUAAAGGUGUCAAUCAAGAAAAAUUAUGAGACAACUCUCAAUCAUUUUAGGAGAUUGAUUUGCCAAAGUUAAGGAUGCACGCCCAGGAGACAGUUCUAUGCCUUUUCUGAAGAUGAUUUUGAAGGUUCCAAAUUUAAAGGGGAAAAGGUGGGAUUUUGAGAAGUACCUAAUUUUCAUGUAUGAGGGGGAUAAGGAAAAGUAGUCAUUCAUGCCUGUGUCUAGCUCAGUGAAUCUGAUUUUAUAUAUAUAAGAUGACAUAGACAAAUGGAGCAGAGGAAAAAUGCAGGACAUCUACAUUUUUACAUAAGGUAGCAUAGACAAAAUGGGGCAGGGGAACAAUGAGAUAUGCAUUUGUGUCUGGUGGGCAGCGGGGUGACUGCAUCUGUAAAGAUUAUCUAUCCAUUUACAUUGCCGUGGUGAAAUUUUAACAGAACUACCUUAAAAGAUCUUGCGGCUCCCUAGGAAUUUUCUCUGUGGGCAAAAUAUGGAGGAGGCAUGUAGCUUUUCAUCUUGCAGCCAUCUUAUCUAGAAACCAAAAGGGGGAGGCAGGUUUGCAUGACCCAGUUCCCAGCUUAGCUUUUCCCUUUGGCUUAAUGAGUUUGGGGUCUCAAGAUUUAAUUUCCAUUCACAUUUUCCCUUCUUUUUCUUUAAAGUCUUUUGGAGAAGGCAUUUCAGAAGGAAUACAGCUUUCUGACCUAGGUUGCUUUUUCUUCCUUUUCUUUUGGCCUGGUUUCUCCUCACUAGGAUGGUUAACUCCUGGAGGUUCAGGUCCCAUGUUGCUAGGAAGGCUCAUUCCUAAGAUGUUAUGUACCAUGAAGAUCUAAAAAAAAAAAAAAAAGUGGGAGAAAAGGAAAAGAAAAAAAAUACACACACACACACACACACACACACAUAUAUGUAUAUAUGUCCCUAGACCAGAUUUAUAGCAACAAAUAGGAAGCAAACCUGGAAGGUGGGUCAGGUUAUAUUACUGCCUCCUCAAUUACAGCAAUCCCCUGGGCAAUCAUUACACUAGACCUUUCAGUGGUGUGUAGACUUAUUUGCAAGCACAUACCAUAACAACACCGUAAGCAGAAACAGGACAGAACAGAAAUUAUUAUUAUUAUUCCUAUUAUAAGCAACAGCUUCUGCCACCAACUUCCCCAGGAUGCAAACCAAUCGCUCAACCAAUUGAUGAGUGAGGGUUUUGGAUCUGACAGGUUGGUUUAUCUGGCUUUUCAUAUCAGUCAUAAGUCGGGUUAUGUUCUUCGAUUCAUGUGGAAUAUACACACAACAUUCAGUUUUUAUGGUGGUGCAGGCCCCCCCGCUGUGUUGCUGGGAGUAUAAAGCAUGACCUCAUUGUUUAGCAACGACAUACUCAUCUGGCUAUCAUUUAGGGCCUUCUUGGUAUAAUUCAUUAAGGCAUCUAUAUGCCAUACAACGCUUUUAGUACCUACCUUCAAUCUUCAAGUGAUCAUGCCACUGGAAUACUGA